AACGCGUGAGGAACCUGCCUCAAAGAGGGGAACAACAGUUGGAAACGACUGCUAAUACCGCAUAAGCCCACGACCCGGCAUCGGGUAGAGGGAAAAGGAGCAAUCCGCUUUGAGAUGGCCUCGCGUCCGAUUAGCUAGUUGGUGAGGUAACGGCCCACCAAGGCGACGAUCGGUAGCCGGACUGAGAGGUUGAACGGCCACAUUGGGACUGAGACACGGCCCAGACUCCUACGGGAGGCAGCAGUGGGGAAUAUUGCACAAUGGGGGAAACCCUGAUGCAGCGACGCCGCGUGGAGGAAGAAGGUCUUCGGAUUGUAAACUCCUGUUGUUGAGGAAGAUAAUGACGGUACUCAACAAGGAAGUGACGGCUAACUACGUGCCAGCAGCCGCGGUAAAACGUAGGUCACAAGCGUUGUCCGGAAUUACUGGGUGUAAAGGGAGCGCAGGCGGGAAGACAAGUUGGAAGUGAAAUCCAUGGGCUCAACCCAUGAACUGCUUUCAAAACUGUUUUUCUUGAGUAGUGCAGAGGUAGGCGGAAUUCCCGGUGUAGCGGUGGAAUGCGUAGAUAUCGGGAGGAACACCAGUGGCGAAGGCGGCCUACUGGGCACCAACUGACGCUGAGGCUCGAAAGUGUGGGUAGCAAACAGGAUUAGAUACCCUGGUAGUCCACACUGUAAACGAUGAUUACUAGGUGU
rnacentral:rRNA from 1 species